rnacentral:rRNA from 1 species
UACGGAGGGUGCGAGCGUUGUUCGGGAUUAUUGGGCGUAAAGCGCGUGUAGGCGGUUGGGUAAGACCGAUGUGAAAGCCUUCCGCUUAAAGGGAGAAGCGCAUUUGAAACUGCACAGCUAGAGUACGGGAGAGGAGAGUGGAAUUCCCGGUGUAGAGGUGAAAUUCGUAGAUAUCGGGACGAACACCAGUGGCGAAGGCGGCUCUCUCGUCCGAUACUGACGCCGAGACGCCGAAGCCUGUGGAGCAAGCAGG